rnacentral:rRNA from 1 species
AAUGCGUUUUGAGAUGGUCCUGUGGCCUAUCAGCUAGUUGGUGGUGUAAUAGACUACCAAGGCUAUGACGGGUAUCCGGCCUGAAAGGGUGAACGGACACACUGGAACUGAGACACGGUCCAGACUCCUACGGGAGGCAGCAGUGGGGAAUUUUGGACAAUGGGCGAAAGCCUGAUCCAGCGACGCCGCGUGGAGGACGAAGGCCUUCGGGUUGUAAACUCCUUUUGGAGGGGAAGAAUAAAUUGACGGUACCCUCAGAAAAAGCACCGGCUAACUACGUGCCAGCAGCCGCGGUAAUACGUAGGGUGCAAGCGUUACUCGGAAUUACUAGGCGUAAAGCGUAUGUAGGCUGUCGGAUAAGUCUUUGGUGAAAUUUCUCGGCUCAACCGAGAAAGGCACAAGGAUACUGUUCGGCUUGAGUGUGGUAGAGGGAAACGGAAUUCCUGGUGUAGCGGUGAAAUGCGUAGAUAUCAGGAGGAACACCGAUGGCGAAAGCAGUUUCCUGGACCAAUACUGACGCUAAUGUACGAAAGCUAGGGUAGCAAACAGGAUUAGAUACCCUGGUAGUCCUAGCUGUAAACGAUGUUCACUAGAUGUGGGAGGUAUCGACCCCUUCCGCGUCGACGCUAACGCAUUAAGUGAACCGCCUGGGGAGUACGGCCGCAAGGUUGAAACUCAAAGGAAUUGACGGGGGCCCGCACAAGCGGUGGAGUAUGUGGUUUAAUUCGACGCAACGCGAAAAACCUUACCUGGGCUUGAACUGCUAAUGGUAAAAACCGGAAACGGCAAUGACCCGCAAGGGAGUUAGCAGAGGUGCUGCAUGGCUGUCGUCAGCUCGUGUCGUGAGAUGUUGGGUUAAGUCCCGCAACGAGCGCAACCCUUAUCCCAUGUUACCUGUAGCAAUACAGGGUCUCUGAGGAAACUGCCAUCGAUAAGAUGGAGGAAGGUGGGGACGACGUCAAGUCAUCAUGGCCUUUAUGUCCAGGGCUACACACGUACUACAAUGGUCGGUACAGAGGGACGCGAGACCGUAAGGUGGAGCAAAUCCCACAAAGCCGGCCUCAGUUCAGAUUGUGGGCUGCAAUUCGCCCACAUGAAGUAGGAAUC